GUGCCAGCAGCCGCGGUAAUACGUAGGGUCCAAGCGUUAUCCGGAAUCACUGGGCGUAAAGCGUGCGUAGGUGGCGUGUUAAGUGAGAUGUUAAAGCGCGGGGCUCAACCCUGUCGUUGCAUCUCAUACUGGCAUGCUAGAGGACAGCAGAGGCAAGUGGAAUUAGCAGUGUAGCAGUGAAAUGCGUAGAGAUUGCUAGGAACACCAAUGGCGAAGGCAGCUUGCUGGGCUACUCCUGACACUGAGGUACGAAAGCGUGGGGAGCGAACAGGAUUAGAUACCCCGGUAGUCC
rnacentral:rRNA from 1 species